rnacentral:rRNA from 1 species
GAUGAACGCUGGCGGCGUGCCUAAUACAUGCAAGUCGAGCGAACAGAUAAGGAGCUUGCUCCUUUGACGUUAGCGGCGGACGGGUGAGUAACACGUGGAUAACCUACCUAUAAGACUGGGAUAACUUCGGGAAACCGGAGCUAAUACCGGAUAACAUAUUGAACCGCAUGGUUCAAUAGUGAAAGGCGGCUUUGCUGUCACUUAUAGAUGGAUCCGCGCCGUAUUAGCUAGUUGGUAAGGUAACGGCUUACCAAGGCAACGAUACGUAGCCGACCUGGGAGGGUGAUCGGCCACACUGGAACUGAGACACGGUCCAGACUCCUACGGGAGGCAGCAGUAGGGAAUCUUCCGCAAUGGGCGAAAGCCUGACGGAGCAACGCCGCGUGAGUGAUGAAGGUCUUCGGAUCGUAAAACUCUGUUAUCAGGGAAGAACAAAUGUGUAAGUAACUGUGCACAUCUUGACGGUACCUGAUCAGAAAGCCACGGCUAACUACGUGCCAGCAGCCGCGGUAA